GAUGAACGCUAGCUCCAGGCUUAACACAUGCAAGUCGAGGGGAAACGGCAUUGAGUGCUUGCACUCUUUGGACGUCGACCGGCGCACGGGUGAGUAACGCGUAUCCAACCUUCCCAUUACUGUGGGAUAACCUGCCGAAAGGCAGACUAAUACCGCAUAGUCUUCGAUGACGGCAUCAGAUUUGAAGUAAAGAUUUAUCGGUAAUGGAUGGGGAUGCGUCUGAUUAGCUUGUUGGCGGGGUAACGGCCCACCAAGGCUACGAUCAGUAGGGGUUCUGAGAGGAAGGUCCCCCACAUUGGAACUGAGACACGGUCCAAACUCCUACGGGAGGCAGCAGUGAGGAAUAUUGGUCAAUGGACGGAAGUCUGAACCAGCCAAGUAGCGUGCAGGAUGACGGCCCUAUGGGUUGUAAACUGCUUUUGUAUGGGGAUAAAGUUAGGGACGUGUCCCUAUUUGCAGGUACCAUACGAAUAAGGACCGGCUAAGUCCGUG
rnacentral:rRNA from 1 species